CCGGACGGCGACCGGCGCACGGGUGAGUAACACGUAUGCGACCUGCCCGUAGCAGGGGGAUAAGCGGAAGAAAUUCCGUCUAAUACCGCGUAAUAUCUUUCGGGGGCAUUCCUGAGGGAUUAAAGGAAGCGAUUCCGGCUACGGAUGGGCAUGCGGCGCAUUAGCUAGACGGCGGGGUAACGGCCCACCGUGGCGACGAUGCGUAGGGGUUCUGAGAGGAAGGUCCCCCACACUGGUACUGAGACACGGACCAGACUCCUACGGAAGGCAGCAG
rnacentral:rRNA from 1 species